rnacentral:tRNA from 1 species
GCUUUCGUGGUGUAGUGGUCAGCACGCUUGACGCGUAACCGAGAGGUCCGUGGUUCGAUUCCCGGCGAAGGCG